GACGAACGCUGGCGGCGUGCUUAACACAUGCAAGUCGAGCGGAAAGGCUCCUUCGGGAGUACUCGAGCGGCGAACGGGUGAGUAACACGUGGGUAAUCUGCCCAGGACACAGGAAUAACCAGUGGAAACGCUGGCUAAUGCCUGAUGAUGUGCCAACCCCUCGGGGGAGGUACCAAAGGUAGCCUCGGCCUCCGGUCGUGGAUGAGCCCGCGGCCCAUUAGCUUGUUGGCGGGGUAACGGCCCACCAAGGCGACGAUGGGUAGCUGGUCUGAGAGGACGAUCAGUCACACGGGCACUGAGACACGGGCCCGACUCCUACGGGAGGCAGCAGUAGGGAAUAUUGGACAAUGGGCGCAAGCCUGAUCCAGCCAUCCCGCGUGAAGGAUUAAGGCCCUAUGGGUUGUAAACUUCUUUUCUCUGGGAAUAAAAACCGGGAUUUAUCCUGGCUUGAAGGUACCAGAGGAAUAAGCACCGGCUAACUCCGUGCCAGCCGCCGCGGUAAAAC
rnacentral:rRNA from 1 species